AUUGAACGCUGGCGGCAGGCCUAACACAUGCAAGUCGAGCGAGCGGCGGACGGGUGAGUAAUGUCUGGGAAACUGCCUGAUGGAGGGGGAUAACUACUGGAAACGGUAGCUAAUACCGCAUACCAUCAGGUGUUCGCAGGUGGGAUUAGCUAGUAGGUGGGGUAACGGGUCACUGAGGCGACGGUCCCUAGCUGGUCUGGGAGGAGGACCAGCCACACGGGAACUGAGACACGGUCCAGAGUCCAAAGGGAGGCAGCAGUGGGGAGUAUGGGACAAUGGGCGAAAGCCGGAUGCAGCAAGCACGCGUGUGUGAUGAAGGCCUUAGGGUUGUAAAGCACUUUCAGCGGGGGCGCGUUACCCGCAGAAGAAGCACCGGCUAACUCCGUGCCAGCCGCCGCGGUAAUAC
rnacentral:rRNA from 1 species